UACGGAGGGUGCAAGCGUUAAUCGGAAUUACUGGGCGUAAAGCGCACGUAGGUGGUUUGUUAAGCUAGAUGUGAAAGCCCCGGGCUCAACCUGGGAAUUGCAUUUAGAACUGGCAAGCUAGAGUAGGGUAGAGGGGUGUGGAAUUCCAGGUGUAGCGGUGAAAUGCGUAGAUAUAGGAAGGAACACCAGUGGCGAAGGCGGCACUCUGGACCAAUACUGACACUGAGGUGCGAAAGCGUGGGGAGCAAACAGG
rnacentral:rRNA from 1 species